UCCCGCUAACAUGCCAUUCGUUGAGUUGGU
rnacentral:piRNA from 1 species